rnacentral:rRNA from 1 species
UACGAAGGGGGCUAGCGUUGCUCGGAAUCACUGGGCGUAAAGCGCACGUAGGCGGCUUUCUAAGUCAGGGGUGAAAUCCUGGAGCUCAACUCCAGAACUGCCUUUGAUACUGGAGAGCUUGAGUCCGGAAGAGGUGAGUGGAACUCCGAGUGUAGAGGUGAAAUUCGUAGAUAUCUGGAGGAACACCAGUGGCGAAGGCGGCAUUCUGGACCGGCAUUGACGCUGAGGCGCGAAAGCUAGGGGAGCAAACGGG